CAUGCAGUCGAGCGAUAUUCGGGGGCAACUCCGAUGAAAGCGGCGGACUGGUGAGUAACGCGUGGGUGACCUACCUUGAGGAUGGGGAUAGCUGUUAGAAAUAGCAGGUAAUACCGAAUAAGUUCACAAUAUUAUGAUUAUGUGAAGAAAGGAGCUACGGCUCCGCCUUGAGAUAGGCCCGCGUCCCAUUAGCUAGUUGGUGAGGUAAAGGCCCACCAAGGCGAAGAUGGGUAGCCGGCCUGAGAGGGUGAACGGCCACACUGGGACUGAGAUACGGCCCAGACUCCUACGGGAGGCAGCAGCUAAGAAUAUUCCACAAUGGACGAAAGUCUGAUGGAGCGACGCCGCGUGGAUGAGGAAGGCCGAAAGGUUGUAAAAUCCUUUUGCGGAUGAAGAAUAAGUGGUGGAGGGAAUGCCAUCAUGAUGACGUUAGUCCGCGAAUAAGCCCCGGCUAAUUACGUGCCAGCAGCCGCGGUAACACGUAAGGGGCGAGCGUUGUUCGGAAUUAUUGGGCGUAAAGGGCGCGUAGGCGGUCGCGUAAGUCUGAUGUGAAAACCCCGGGCUCAACCCGGGAACUGCAUUGGAAACUGUGCGACUUGAGUCACGGAGGGGAAAUCGGAAUUCCUGGUGUAGGGGUGAAAUCUGUAGAUAUCAGGAAGAACACCGGUGGCGAAGGCGGAUUUCCAGCCGAUGACUGACGCUGAGGCGCGAAAGUGCGGGGAGCAAACAGGAUUAGAUACCCUGGUAGUCCGCACUAUAAACGAUGCACACUAGGUGUCGGGACGAGCGUCUCGGCGCCGGAGCGAACGCGAUAAGUGUGCCGCCUGGGGAGUAUGCCCGCA
rnacentral:rRNA from 1 species